CAAAUACAAGUACGCCUAUGCGUCCAGGGUGGGACCGCGGCCCCCGGGGCCCCAGCGAUCUUCCUCUCACCGGCCGUGACCUUCGGCCGGGCUUGGUUGCGCGGGAGCAAGCCCCGGUGGUGUUGGGAUAGCCAUGCCCAUUCACGCACCCACGUCUGAAUCCUUCACUGUACGAGCACCUUUCGUUCUCCUUCGGCGGGGCGACCCGCCGUCGGAACCAACAAAAACCAUUUUGCAUCCAGCAUUACCCGUUCCGAUACAAACAAUGAAUUA
rnacentral:misc_RNA from 1 species